rnacentral:rRNA from 1 species
GGAUUCNAUGGGGGAACCCUGAUGCAGCGACGCCGCGUGGAGGAUGAAGGCCUUCGGGUUGUAAACUCCUUUUCUCAGGAACGAUGAUGGCGGUACCUGAGGAAUAAGCCACGGCUAACUCUGUGCCAGCAGCCGCGGUAAGACAGAGGUGGCGAGCGUUGUUCGGAAUCACUGGGCUUAAAGGGCGCGUAGGUGGUAGUGUAAGUCUGGGGUGGAAUCCCAGGGCUUAACCCUGGAACUGCCUUGGAAACUGUAUUACUUGAGUCAGUGAGGGGAGGGUAGAAUUCCUGGUGUAGCGGUGAAAUGCGUAGAUAUCAGGAGGAAGGCCUGUGGCGAAGGCGGCCCUCUGGCGCUGGACUGACACUGAGGCGCGAAAGCGUGGGGAGCAAACAGGAUUAGAUACCCUGGUAGUCCACGCCCUAAACGGUGGGCACUAGGUGUAGGGCUCGUAAGGGUUCUGUGCCGAAGGGAAACCAUUAAGUGCCCCGCCUGGGGAGUACGGUCGCAAGGCUGAAACUCAAAAAAAUUGACGGA